rnacentral:rRNA from 1 species
UACGGAGGGUGCAAGCGUUAUCCGGAUUCACUGGGUUUAAAGGGUGCGUAGGUGGGUUGGUAAGUCAGUGGUGAAAUCCCCGAGCUUAACUUGGGAACUGCCAUUGAUACUAUCAGUCUUGAAUACCGUGGAGGUCGGCGGAAUAUGUCAUGUAGCGGUGAAAUGCUUAGAUAUGACAUAGAACACCAAUUGCGAAGGCAGCUGACUACGCGAGUAUUGACACUGAGGCACGAAAGCGUGGGGAGCAAACAGG